rnacentral:rRNA from 1 species
AACGAACGCUGGCGGCAUGCCUAACACAUGCAAGUCGAACGAGACCUUCGGGUCUAGUGGCGCACGGGUGCGUAACGCGUGGGAACCUGCCCUUAGGUUCGGAAUAACUCCCCGAAAGGGGUGCUAAUACCGGAUAAUGUCUUCGGACCAAAGAUUUAUUGCCUUUGGAUGGGCCCGCGUUGGAUUAGCUAGUUGGUAAGGUAACAGCCUACCAAGGCAACGAUCCAUAGCUGGUCUGAGAGGGUGAUCAGCCACACUGGGACUGAGACACGGCCCAGACUCCGACGGGAGGGCGCAGUAGGGAAUAUUCAGCAAUGGGCGAAAGCAUGACGGAGGAAAGCAGCGUGAGUGAUGAAGGUUUUAGGAUCGUAAAACUCUGUGAUUAGGGAAGAACAUAUGUGUAAGUAACUGUGCACAUCUUGACGGUAACGAAUCAGAAAGCCACGGCUAACUACGUG